GACGAAGGGGGCUAGCGUUGUUCGGAAUUACUGGGCGUAAAGCGCGUGUAGGCGGUUGUCCAAGUUGGAUGUGAAAGCCUUGAGCUUAACUCAAGAAAUGCAUUCAGGACUGGAUGACUAGAGGACCGGAGAGGAUAGUGGAAUUCCCAGUGUAGUGGUGAAAUGCGUAGAGAUCGGCAGGAACACCCAGGGGGAAACCAGUGGACUGGCACGGUGCUGACACUCAUGUGCGAAAGCGUGGGGAGCGAACCGG
rnacentral:rRNA from 1 species